UACGCGCGCUCUCUCUCUCUCUCUCUCUCUCAGAUUUAUUCUCCAUCGCCUCCAUCGCCUCGCCUCCACCCUCCAGCCGCCGCUCGUAUAUUAAGCGGUGGCGCCCCCCCACCUCCCCCUCACUGACCUUCUCUCUCUACUGGAAGCCCUAGGUCCCCAAUUUACAGCCUACUCCUCGUCGAUUCCCCUGAAUUCGUCCGCUCGUCGCCACGGCCUCCGACUUCUCUCUCCCUGGUUCAAGCCGAGGUUCUCUUUGGUUCCGAUGCCGCUCACCGCUAAGGCCUUCGAAUUCCGAUGAAACUGAAGCAAAAAGACAGGGAUUGACAACUACUUUUGGGUAAAUUUUGUAAUUUAAACCCAUUAACUUCUUAUUGGAGUGUAAUUCACUUGGUUGCGUUGCUAGUGAAAAGGAUCUCCAAGAGUGGUCGGGUGAGAUUGGCUCUGAUAUCCCCUUCUCUUCUCUCAUGGUGUUGCUUAUUGUACAACUAGAGGGGAGUUAGUGAAUUCGAAACCAUAGCCGCCGCCUCAUCUCAGAAACGGGCGUCGAUUUUACCCGAUCUCAGAAAACACCGGUCGUCUUUGCCUCAUCUCUUCCGAUGGCUUUUCAAUCGCCUGCUCUGGUUAGAAAAUGACUGGCACCGUGGCCUUAUUGGCUCCAGCAUCGACGCCUUCUUCUUCGGCUCGAAGGUUUCUUCGUCGUCGUCGGCAGGCCCCUGUUCGAAAUUAUUCGCCAUCGAUGAAUCCCCACAUAACCCUCUGACUCGUCUCUUAGAUAAUUUCUCUGCUCAUCUUUUGUUGUGGUCUUUUAAGACAAUGGUAUAAACUAGUAUAAAACAUUGAAGAACUGACGAUCAUAUGUCAGAAGAUGUGGCUUUUGUCAAGGUUCUCGUCGAGGAAAAGUUGAGCCGACUUUGUGCAUGUGGAGAUGGAUUAAAGCCACUAUCCAAAAGAGGAGAGAGGAUUAAUCUUGAUUUGCAAAAGGAGAAUGAAGAGCUGAACAAAAAGAAUGAAGAGUUGGCCUCUCGGAUUGAGAGAGAGGAUUAAUCUUGAUUUGCAAAAAGGAGAAUGCAGAGCUGAACAAAAAGAAUGAAGAGUUGGCCUCUCGGAUUGAGUCUUUAGAAGCUCAAAUUAGCAACCACCAAGUGAAUCUAGCAUGAUCACGUCUUUACUUGUAUUUGCAAUUUGUAUUUGAUGUUUUAGAAAUAAGCGUGAUCACGCUUUUUUCAACGUCUUAUGAAACAAUACUGUCAAACUAACAUGAUCACGUCUUUACUUACAGAAGCAUCCGCAUCAAUUUUGUAAUUCGAUCUAGUAUUUUUAGAAAUAAAUGUGAUCACGUCAUUUCUUAAAUAAGCUUUUAUAUCAAUUUUAUAA